GCUACACUGAGAGAUGCUUUGUUAUUUACUACUAUGUGUAUUGUUGGGCUACCGGUUAAUGUUUAUAUCAAAGAUGGUGGUGUUUAUUCGGGUAUUUUUCACACUGCUUGUGUAGAUGAUGAAUAUGCUAUUGUUUUGAAGAGGGCGAAGAUGAUUAAGAAGGGUAGUCGAGAGGCGAAUGUAGCACGUGGAAGUUUGAUAGAGACACUCGUAAUUCUGUCUGAAGAUCUUGUCCAAGUUGUCGCAAAGGGGGUUAUGCUAUCUGCUGAUUGUAUUCAAGGACAUUUAGAUGGGGAUAAUGCAAGAACUGUUUGUAGCAAUAUAACUUAUCCUGAAUACACCAAAAAGGAGAUGAAAGCAACAAAGUCCAAGGUG
rnacentral:misc_RNA from 1 species